AGAGUUUGAUCAUGGCUCAGGAUGAACGCUGGCGGCGUGCCUAACACAUGCAAGUCGAGCGCGGUUAAGUGGAGUGCGAACUUCGGUUCAAGUGAAGCUUAUGAAAGCGGCGGACGGGUGAGUAACGCGUGGGUAACCCGCCCCAUACAAAGGGAUAGCCACUGGAAACGGUGAUUAAUACCUUAUAAGUCGGUAGUCUCGCAUGAGACAGCCGACAAAGAUUUAUCGGUAUGGGAUGGACCCGCGUCUGAUUAGCUAGUUGGUGAGGUAACGGCUCACCAAGGCGACGAUCAGUAGCCGACCUGAGAGGGUGAUCGGCCACACUGGAACUGAGACACGGUCCAGACUCCUACGGGAGGCAGCAGUGGGGAAUAUUGCACAAUGGGCGCAAGCCUGAUGCAGCAACGCCGCGUGAGUGAAGAAGGCCUUCGGGUUGUAAAACUCUGUCCUAUGGGAAGAAAAAAAUGACGGUACCAUAGGAGGAAGCCCCGGCUAACUACGUGCCAGCAGCCGCGGUAAUACGUAGGGGGCAAGCGUUAUCCGGAAUCACUGGGCGUAAAGGGUGCGUGGGUGGCUUAUCAAGCCAGGGGUGAAAGGCAUUGGCUCAACCAAUGUAAGCCUUUGGAACUGAUAGGCUUGAGUGCAGGAGAGGUAAGUGGAAUU
rnacentral:rRNA from 1 species